GCGGUGCUGGCGCGGCUGCGCGGCGUGUGGCGCUCCUCGCGCUACGCGGGCCUGCCCGAAAGCAGCCGGCAGCGCUUCGACCGCGUCGCGCAGCGC
rnacentral:tRNA from 1 species